rnacentral:rRNA from 1 species
CGGACGGGUGAGUAACGCGUGAGGAACCUGCCUUUCAGAGGGGGACAACAGUUGGAAACGACUGCUAAUACCGCAUAACAUAUGUUUGUCGCAUGGCAGAUAUAUCAAAGAUUUAUCGCUGAGAGAUGGCCUCGCGUCUGAUUAGCUGGUUGGUAGGGUAACGGCCUACCAAGGCGACGAUCAGUAGCCGGACUGAGAGGUUGGCCGGCCACAUUGGGACUGAGAUACGGCCCAGACUCCUACGGGAGGCAGCAGUGGGGAAUAUUGGGCAAUGGGCGCAAGCCUGACCCAGCAACGCCGCGUGAAGGAAGAAGGCUUUCGGGUUGUAAACUUCUUUUAAGAGGGAAGAGCAGAAGACGGUACCUCUUGAAUAAGCUCCGGCUAACUACGUGCCAGCAGCCGCGGUAAUACGUAGGGAGCGAGCGUUGUCCGGAUUUACUGGGUGUAAAGGGCGUGCAGCCGGGAGUACAAGUCAGAUGUGAAAUCCCGCGGCUCAACCGCGGAACUGCAUUUGAAACUGUAUUUCUUGAGUACUGGAGAGGCAGACGGAAUUCCUAGUGUAGCGGUGAAAUGCGUAGAUAUUAGGAGGAACACCAGUGGCGAAGGCGGUCUGCUGGACAGCAACUGACGGUGAGGCGCGAAAGCGUGGGGAGCAAACAGGAUUAGAUACCCUGGUAGUCCACGCUGUAAACGAUGGAUACUAGGUGUGCGGGGACUGACCCCCUGCGUGCCGCAGUUAACACAAUAAGUAUCCCACCUGGGGAGUACGAUCGCAAGGUUGAAACUCAAAG